rnacentral:rRNA from 1 species
GACGAACGCUGGCGGCGUGCCUAAUACAUGCAAGUUGAGCGCUGAAGGUUGGUACUUGUACCGACUGGAUGAGCAGCGAACGGGUGAGUAUCGCGUGGGGAAUCUACCUUUGAGCGGGGGACAACAUUUGGAAACGAAUGCUAAUACCGCAUAAAAACUUUAAACACAAGUUGUAAGUUUGAAAGAUGCAAUUGCAUCACUCAAAGAUGAUCCCGCGUUGUAUUAGCUAGUUGGUGAGGUAAAGGCUCACCAAGGCGAUGAUACAUAGCCGACCUGAGAGGGUGAUCGGCCACAUUGGGACUGAGACACGGCCCAAACUCCUACGGGAGGCAGCAGUAGGGAAUCUUCGGCAAUGGACGAAAGUCUGACCGAGCAACGCCGCGUGAGUGAAGAAGGUUUUCGGAUCGUAAAACUCUGUUGGUAGAGAAGAACGUUGGUGAGAGUGGAAAGCUCAUCAAGUGACGGUAACUACCCAGAGAGGGACGACUAACUACGUGCCAGCAGCAGCCGCGG